AUGAAAUCCAUCAUCCAAACCCUGAAAUUUGUUUAUAGAUGGAAAAUAAGGAUAGGAGAUAGGAUUAGGUUCUGGGAGGAUACUUGGUUUGGCACCUCCCCCCUAGCAGUACAGUUCUGGCACAUCUACAUGGUUUGGAGUGAGCAAAACAAGAGUGACAGAGAUGUCUGGGAUGGUGAAACUCUGAUGCUAUCCUUUAGAAGGAAUUUUGACAGUAGAAUGAUGGAACAAUGGUACCAGCUAGUUGAGAUUGCUAAAGAAAUCACCUACACUGGUGACUCUGAUGCACUGAUCUGGCAACUUGAAAGUAAAGGGGUAUACUCCUCUAUUUCUUUGUACCAUGUGAUUAACUUUAGAGGAAUCCAACCCCUGUUCCUGCCAGCUAUCUGGAAACUGAUUGUACCCCCAAAGAUUCAUGUCUUCCUUUGGCUUUUUCUCAAAAGAAGCUGA
rnacentral:rRNA from 1 species